AGCUCCAAUAGCGUAUAUUAAAGUUGUUGCGGUUAAAAAGCUCGUAGUUGGAUUUCUGUUGAAGGCAGCCGGUCCGCUCUCGGAGCGUGUAUCUGGUUUGACUUCGGCAUCCUCUCAAAAUACGUUUCUGCGCUUGAUUGCGUGGAGCGGAGUUUGAGACUUUUACUUUGAGGAAAUUAGAGUGUUCACGGCAGGCAAUCGCCUUGAAUAUAUUAGCAUGGAAUAAUAAUAUAGGAUCUUGGUUCUAUUUUGUUGGUUUCUAGAGCUAAGAUAAUGAUUAAUAGGGACAAUUGGGGGCAUUCGUAUUAACGCGUCAGAGGUGGAAUUCUUGGAUUGCGUUACGACGAACUACUGCGAAAGCAUUUGCCAAGGAUGUUUUCA
rnacentral:rRNA from 1 species